CUUUGGCAACAAACAGGUCAUUCAGUAUUGAGAUGCGUUUUCUCCUACGCUUCGUUUUCUCUAAUCAAAACUGUAGUCUAUCAUCUCGCUUCAUAUCCUUGUCGAUGGCUCAGCCUUUCCUGUCACCUCUUUCCAAACUCCCCUUUCGCUUUGAUUUUCUUCAGGCCCUAACCAGCAAUCGAGCAAUAUAUCAGGUUUCCUUUCUAAAUCUAAUACCCACCGCUCUACACUUCAUUCCGUCGAAACACUUUCCAGGGUUUCUGUUUUGUUGUGUGAUCAUGAGACUCAAGAGAUUGAAGGAGCGACCUUAUAUGAUUCUAUGUCUACGAUGAGGAUGAGUUUGAUGACCCCAAAACAAAUAUGAAACAAACGAUGAUAUUUAUUGAUUACCGCCCAAGCUUCACUCUUUGUUUUGUUUUGUGUUUUUUUCCUUUGUUACACUCAUGCUGAUUACUUCCUAAUUAAUUGAGUUCUCUGUGGUUUAUUAUUUUUUAUGUGUGGAAAGGAUCUCACUUUGAGUAAUAGCUCCAGCAAAAGAGUUUCUCGUCGUCAAACAGGUUAAUUUGAAAACUGUCUGAUUUUGAAUACUGUAAUUUUACUCUGCAAUUUGUUUUAAAAUUCCCCUCUCUCCCUGAAGUUUGAUUCUUAUGAUGAGUUUUUCGGUGAUCUGUGGGCUCUCCAAGCUCAUUCGUUCUACAUCUCAUCACCUUAAUUUGUUUAAUUACUCACGUAUUCUAUAAUUUUUUUGGGUGUUUACUCUAGCGUUAUUAUUGUUGUUUUUAUUGACUGGAUUUUAGUUGCUAAUAAACAUACAUGUUUCUUUGUUGAUAUUGUCCUCCGACUUCUCUUUCAUCAUAUUAUCUUAGUUAUUUUUUCUCUACAAUGAUUUGAUUUAUUCAUGACUUUCCUACUUUUGUUCAUCAUAUUCAGAAGCUGGAAAAGAAAGUUAAGCUUCUCAAGAAUCACUCACAUCCAAAUAUAGUUGUAUUUACGCACAUUGAGAGAAUGAAACUUUGAACAUCUUCUUCCAUAUCAUACUAUAUUCCAGAGCGUCGAAAACCAUGGCGAAUCCUCAAGUUCUUUUGUAUGAGUUGAACGUUGAUUGGCGCAAGGAAAUUGCAGAGGCCAAACGUCGGUGUCAGUGUUUUGGAUAGAUUUGCCAACCUCCUUUAUAUAUGGUUCCUUUACUUGUAUGAUUAACGAUUGUUAGUUAACUUUUUAGACACAGCAACAUCCUUUAUAACGUAUGUGUUUUUAACAACUUAGCCACUACCGACCACCACUUCCAGACUUUGGAGGUCAUGGAAGGGAUAACCAGCCUGGUGAUGACAUGCUUGGAGCUGGAGCGGUUAAAACCAAUCCUACUGAUAGGUUUAACAGUGCAUCGCCUGAGAAAAUACCUGAUGGUGAUAACGCUGGAAUGCUUUAAGAAAGUGCUGUCGGCCCUGCUCUUCCAACUGUUCUGUCUCGAUAAAUCAACAGAUAAGAAAUUAAGAAUGAACCACUAAUGGAGGAGAAGGUUGAAGGGAAGAAGCCACACGUGACUUAACUUCACAGGCUUAGGAGAGCCAAAGGUCAGAAUGGACAACCUCUACUCUUUCGCAUUUCUGUUUUUAAAUGUUUCCACUUUGACUUUGUCUACUGUUUCCUGAAAUUAAACCAGCUGCUGGUUGUGUUUUAACUUUUAGUUGUAGUUGUUACAAGGGAAAGGUAUUCGUUAUAUGUUCAUAAAUAAAAGUUCCUUUAAAUCCUCUA